rnacentral:tRNA from 1 species
UGCGAGGGUUGCCAAGCCAGGUUAACGGCGCAGGGUUUAGGACCCUGUCUCUAGGAGUUCAAGGGUUCGAAUCCCUUCCCUCGCAUC